UGGGGAAGUUUAAGUUAAACAGGUAUC
rnacentral:piRNA from 1 species